ACUAAGGCUAUUUUGAGAUAAAAACACUAUCUUAAAAUUCUUGACCAGUUUGUGAUUUCCUAUUUUGCCCUUAGAGUUGACCUUGCUUGGCCUUCAAAGCUGUGCUAAGUGACACAGAGAAUAAGCAGGCAUCAAAUUCAUACAUGAGCUAAUGGCUUAUUGAGCUUCGAGAUGUUGUGUAUGAAGCAUAAGCAUCAUUUUCGUCUCUUAAAAACAGCAAAUAAAUUAAGAGUUUAUCGAGUUAGCUGAUUGAAAAUAGCUUAGCACUUUUGGUUUCUAAAAUUAAUUUGUCCCUUAUAGAUAAGUAGUUACGUGUUUUAACCCCUUAUAGAUAAGAUUCAUGAUCCGAAUCUUAUAGACCGUUACCGACACUUGGCAGUUUAACCCUUUCUUAAACGGCAAACCGGUGCACAAGGCAUCCCACAGGUCAGGGUAUGGGGAAGGGCCGCACCGCAAUGGGUGUGAUGUAGGAAACCUAUCCUAAUGCAAGCAUUUCGAAGCUCAUUAAGCCUAUUCAUAGGACUAUUAAUUUCAUUUUAUGAGAAGAGAAAAGAAUAAUCUACAGUUGCAGAGAACAUAUCCACCAUUAUCUUCACUUAUCCUUCUCUCUACCAAAAUUUGGACAGCAGAAGAUGUGUAAAGAUAACCACUUGGGCCCCUCAAGUCCCCUUCCUCUCUUUCCUCAAUUAUUGAAUUUAGAAAGUAAUGAAUAGUAUAAAGCAGACUCUAUUAUCAAGUCUUUGUCUUCUUGUUUGAUGAACAGUCAAACUUUUUGAUAAGAGUAGAUUGUAGUUAAUAAUAAUAAACAUUGUUGUACCAAUUACAAGUAAGAACAGUAGCAAAAGAGAGAGGAAGAGAACUCACUGAUCAUCCUUGUUUGCAAUUUAGUCUUAGCAUUCAACAGCUUUAGGGACUCAAUUUUGAAAUCGACAGAUCACACAAGACAAGCAGGUAACUUGUUCUUGCUUUAUGCACCAGUUCAGUAUAUUAAUUACAAUUAACAAAAUAUUUCAGUAUGCUUGAUUCUUUUGCAUCGCCCCUCUCCCCCUUACUCUUUUUGAUUUUCGAUGUGAGUUGAAAUGCUUUUCAUUUUGUGCUCUUGUGAUGAGUGGAAAACCCAUGGAUGCAUGAUGUAUGUAAAGCAAAAAGACUCUAUGCGACGUUCUUGUCGUGUCGAUACAAAGUGUAGGUGUGAGGUCUGUCUAUAUUGAAUUUGGUCAACUAAUUUAAAAUAUUUUAUUUAAUAUCAAUAGAGAAAUUUGAGAUCCAAAUAAUAUUUUUGCAAUCUACAUAAGUCACUAUUAAAUAAUUCACUUAGUCAAAAGUGUGCAAGUGUUGGAUUACAUUGGGUAUGUUGUCGUCAUUUAGAUAUUUUACUCUAAUUUAUUAGUUAGAUAUCAAAACAUAUACUAUCAUUACUUUUAUUAAUAAAUAUUUGAUACACGUGCAAUGCACGUAUGCUAAACUAGUUGUAUUAAAUGAGUGGGGUGUCUAAGAAUAAAAAUAAUACCAAAUAAGUUGUAUUAGAAUUGAAAUAGUACCCUGUAUUGUUAAUGUUAUGACUUACCAUGUAUAAAAAUAGAAUGGUAUAUGGCGUAUAAUUAAUACAAUUAGGGUCGUUUGGUAGAGUGUGUUAUCGAAAAUAAUGCAUGCAUUAUUCUUGUGCACUGUUAAUCUCUGGUUUGCUUCAUUCUUUUGGUCUAUGCAUAAUUAAUGCUUGCAUUCGGUAUGCACUCAAUUAUGUGUUAAGCUAUGUAUUAAUAAUACCAUCCUUUUCUAGUAUUAAUAAUACAAAGCAUUUUAACACAUGCAUUAACUUAUUAAAUGACAAAUUUACCCCUCAAAAUAUCUUCCGAUUUCUUUUCCCACCAUAGUUACAUUUCCAUGUUCCUUUUUUCCACCAUUUUUUGUUGUAAAAAGCUUCGUGUUUCUCUUCUCCUUGUACUACUUUCCAUGAAAAAUAGAGGUUGGUAUUAUAAUACAAAUCAAUUACCACUUAUACAAACUAAAACGCUACAUAGGAUACGGGUGUCUACUUGUUUGAGCACGCAUAAACUUGAGGAGAAAGUUCGGACAUGAUAUUGUCGAUGAACAAUUUUUUGGCGUAGAGUAUUUUGAGUUUUGAGGACCAUCUCGCUGGAAUAUAUCAUUGACAUUACUUUUAAUUGAUUGUUUAGUUUGUUGGAUUGAAAAUAUUGGGUGUAUAAGAAUAUGAAUAGUACCCCAUAUUAUAAACGUCAUGGUUUAUAAUGUAUAAAAAUAAUACUCCUAUUGAAUAAGAUGAAUAAUACAACUAAUACAUGGGUUAUUUUUUCUAAUACCUCGCACCAAACGACCUCUCCGAUAUCCAAACUAUAAUUGUUCCCAACCAACUUGGGGCAAUCAUAAAAGGCUUAGGUUCCGAAGAGCAGGAAACUCUCCGUUCCCUAGUACGUCCCACUGCUUCCACUCCGGCAUCUUUGCAAAUUCAAGCUCCUCCAGAGAGUUAAAAGGCUUUUCGGAGGACGGACUACCAUAGUAGUCCUCUCCAACGAUAACUUCUCAACAUGAUUCUUCUUCUCAUCCCUCAUCUUCGCCUUCUGAGCUUCCCUUCUAUCAACCACAUUUUCCAACUCUAAAACUGACAGAGAUCCUUACAAGUAAGAUGCCUCACCCAAAUCUUCCAUUCUCCAACCACCUAG